AACAAACGCUGGCGGCGUGCCUAAUACAUGCAAGUCGAACGGGGAAAGCUUUCGGGUGAGUACUAGUGGCGCACGGGUGAGGAACGCGUGGAUAAUCUGCCUUAGAGUGGGGGAUAACUAGUCGAAAGAUUAGCUAAUACCGCAUAAGACCACGAGAGCUGCGGCUUUUGAGGUCAAAGGUUUUUCGCUCUAAGAUGAGUCCGCGUAAGAUUAGCUAGUUGGUGAGGUAACGGCUCACCAAGGCGACGAUCUUUAACUGGUCUGAGAGGAUGAUCAGUCACACUGGAACUGAGACACGGUCCAGACUCCUACGGGAGGCAGCAGUAGGGAAUAUUGCACAAUGGAGGAAACUCUGAUGCAGCGACGCCGCGUGAGGGAUGAAGGCCUUCGGGUCGUAAAGCUCUGUCGCAGGGGAAUAACACAAUGAAGGUACCCUGUAAGAAAGGAUCGGCUAACUUCGUG
rnacentral:rRNA from 1 species